AUGAAAACGAAGAAAACGUCCGGACGGACGCUGCCACAAGCCAAGGACACGAGGGUUGCCAGAAGCCUCCAGAAACUGGAAGAGAAAGGUCUUUCCUACAGGUUUCAGAGGGAGCACAGCCCUGCCAACAUCUUGAUCUUGGCCUUCCAUCCUCCAGAACCGAAAAGAAAUAUUUCCAGGAGAUUAACAUGCCCCCCACCCAUACCAGGCCCAUGGGCACCCUUACCAGCCCUCCGGGACGAGCAGAGCACUGAUGCGGGUGAGCCUUGGGUCAUGCGGCCACGAGACCAUGGACAGACCUCCUGCCUUCAGGCUGGCUGGUGGAAACCAGGUAGGGACAAGCUGGCCUGGGGAGUCUGGGGGACAGGUCGCCCACCUGGUGGGCAGAGCUCAGGGCCUGCGCAGCAGAGGUGGUGCCCCUUGGCCAGGUCUGAGGUCCUAGAUUAUGCACAGGGAAGUACGGGAGCAGAAGCGUUAGUGAGAGUAAAGGGGGAGCUCUGGGGAGCCUGUGGUGUCAGCGAUGAUCGGGGCUGCAGGACCCACAGGGCAGAGCCCCCACUGCCCGCCCAUCUCUCGGAGGCUCUGCUUCUGGUGCACAUCAGGGGCACCCUGGCCCUCUGCAUCCAGAUGGGGGGUUACCUGCGUCCCACCCCCAGCUUGCUAAGAGAAAACCACACCCACUCCUCCCUUGAGGCUGCAGGUGGCUUUGGGCUUUAGGGGGCAAGGCCACCUUCAGCAGAAGUCCGAGAGGAGGAAGCUAUGCUCUCGGCCUGCCAGUGCCCAGAGCACAGCCUGGGGCCUCCUUGGCCACUGAGGAGAGAGGCGAGGGGUUUGUCUACCCUUCUUCAGCAGGGGCCCUGGGCAGCCAGAAGGCCCCUCUGCACCCUGAACAAGAGCCUGGAGCACUGGCGGGGAGAGGUUAGGGCACCCAAAGGGAUGCACUGAGCAGCGGGCAUGCCACCCAGAGCACUGCCAGGUCAGCCCAGGGCACAGAGGGUGACGCCAGCCAGACUGCAGCCACUUUGGUGGGCUGGCUCAAGGAGUACGGCCCUCUUUCUGGGUCACUGAGCCUGCACAACCUCACCUCAGGGGACAGUGCCCUGGGCUCUGAAGGAGAGGGAGGCGGGUGUGGGGCAGAGCGUGGGCCCAGAUAGAGUCAGACCAGAGACAGCAGAAACGAGGUCAGACCUCUAGCCCGAGGCGCCGGAGCGCAGCAGCUCCCACAGCCCAGGACGCCUGUGUGAGGGCCGAGGCGGGGCCAAGGUCUGCAGGCUGCACCCAGGAGGCUGCAGUGGCCAGAGCCCACACUCACUCAGCAAAGGCACUCACGCUCAGGGGAACGUGUGGCACCAGCCGGAAUGGGCGGGCACAGUGUGACAGGCAUGUAAGGGAACAUGGGGUGUGUGGUCAGGCGGAGGAACCUCCCCGACCAUCUGGGGGGGGGGGGCUGUGUCAGGGCCUCCCCUCUAGGGUCCAGAGAGGAGGCCCCAGACCCUAGCCCAGUACGCCACAGAGACUCAACAUCAUUCCGGGCAGACCUGGGGCCACCUCACUCUCUGGGGUCCCUCCCCGAGUCUGGCUCUGGUGUGGUCUGGCUGAGAGCCGGUGUGAGGCCCCAGCCAUCCUCCUCGACCACAGAGAUGGUAGGGCCCCGCCACACACCCCGUGGCUGGGAGGGAGCUCAGGGUGCCAGCACCGGCCUGGGCAAUGCGGUGCU
rnacentral:lncRNA from 1 species